GUCCUUAUGAAUUUAAUUUAAGGUUUAACCUGCCCACUGAAAUUAUUUGAAGGGCCGCAGUAAUUUGACUGUGCAAAGGUAGCAUAAUCAUUAGUUUUUUAAUUAAAAGCUUGUAUGAAGGGUUGGACGAGGUAAAUUCUGUCUCUAUUUAAUUAAAUAUAGAAUUUAAUUUUUAAGUUAAAAAGCUUAAAUUUUUUUAAAAGACGAGAAGACCCUAUAGAUCUUUAUAUUAUAAAUAUUAAUUUUAAUUAAGAAUAUUUUAUUUUUUAUUAUUUAUAAUAUUUUAUUGGGGUAAUAGGAAGAUUAAUUUAAUUCUUUUUUUUAUUUUUACAUUAAUAAAUGAUUAUAUGAUCCAAUUUUAUUGAUUGAAAGAUUAAGUUACCUUAGGGAUAACAGCGUAAUUUUUUUAGAGAGUUCAUAUCGAUAAAAAAGUUUGCGACCUCGAUGUUGGAUUAAAAAUUAUCUUAGGUGUAGAAGUUUAAGAUUUUGGUCUGUUCGACCAUUGAAUUUUUACAUGAUCUGAGUUCAGACCGGUGUAAGCCAGGUCGGUUUCUAUCUUUAAUAAAAUAAAAUAUUUUAGUACGAAAGGACCAAGUAUUUAAUAUAUUUAUAUUUAAUUUUUUUUGAAUAU
rnacentral:rRNA from 1 species